AACAGUUUGGUUACUAAGAGAAGGGUGGGAGGACAGCCGGUAACAUCAUUUACUUCCGAUAAGGUAGGUUUGACAACGCACUGAACAUUAAAAGGAAAAGUGCCUGGAUAAAAUGAAAACAACAGUGUGCCCUGGCAGGGAAGAGAUGGAUGGCCUAUACAUAAAUGCACAACAGUGACAAAGAGGGACUCUAAGCAGAUACCAUGUCUCUGCUCUUUCACUGAUGGAGAGAGUGGGCAUGCAAGUAAAGUUUGCGGUGUGAUGGCAGCGGUCAAACACUUUCAUCACUGUAUGUUAUGCUAUGUUACAUCAUGUAAUGUUGUUAUGCUAUAUACAAAAUGUAACUGUGUAGACCAGCAAACCCUUAAACCAUGUGUUCCACAUAUACUACUAUAAC